rfam:TPA: Bos taurus chromosome 2, whole genome shotgun sequence.
UCUCUGGUGGUCCAGUGGUUAAGACUCUGCACUUCCAAAGCAGGGGCCACGGGUUCCAUCCCUGGCUGGGGAA